rnacentral:misc_RNA from 1 species
GAUGAAGAACGCAGCGAAAUGCGAAAAGUAGUGUGAAUUGCAGAAUUCAGUGAAUCAUCGAAUCUUUGAACGCACAUUGCGCCCGCUAGUAUUCUGGCGGGCAUGCCUGUUCGAGCGUCAUUUCAACCAUCAAGCCCUAGGCUUGCGUUGGAGCCCUGCGGCUGCCGCAGGCUCCCAAAUCCAGUGGCGGGCUCGUCGUCGUACCGAGUGCAGUAAACAUCCUCGCUCAGGGAACGUGACGGGUUCUUGCCGUGAAACCCCCCACAUAUCAAGGUUGACCUCGGAUCAGGUAGGAAUACCCGCUGAACUUAAGCAUAUCAAUAAGCGGAGGA